rnacentral:rRNA from 1 species
GAGUUUGAUCUUGGCUCAGGGUUAACGCUGGCGGCGCGCAUAACACAUGCAAGUCGAGCGAGGGCUUAUUUCUCGCAAGAGAGAUAAGUUCCUAGCGGCGAACGGGUGAGUAACACGUGGGCAACCUUUCCUAUCGCGGGGGAUAACACCGGGAAACCGAUGCUAAUACCGCAUGUCGUCACUGGUCGCAUGGCUGGUGAAGAAAGCAGCAAUGCACGAUGGGGUGGGCCCGCGGCCUAUCAGCUAGUCGGUGGGGUAACGGCCUACCGAGGCGAUGACGGGUAGCUGGUCUGAGAGGACGGCCAGCCACACGGGGGACUGAGACACGGCCCCGACUCCUACGGGAGGCAGCAGUGAGGAAUCUUCCGCAAUGGGCGAAAGCCUGACGGAGCGACGCCGCGUGUGGGAUGAAAGUCUUUCGGGAGUGUAAACCAACUGUCGGAGGGGAAGGAGUAGUGACGGUACCCGU